rnacentral:rRNA from 1 species
AUUGAACGCUGGCGGCAGGCCUAACACAUGCAAGUCGAACGAGUGGCGGACGGGUGAGUAAUGUCUGGGAAACUGCCUGAUGGAGGGGGAUCACCACUGGACACUGUAUCUUAUCCCGCAUUCCCUCAUAUGUGCCCAGAUGGGAUUAGCUUGUUGGUGGGGUAACGGCUCACCAAGGCGACGACCCCUAGCUGGUCUGAGAGGAUGACCAGCCACACUGGAACUGAGACACGGUCCAUACUCCUACGGGAGGCAGCAGUGGGGAAUAUUGCACAAUGGGCGCAAGCCUGAUGCAGCCAUGCCGCGUGUGUGAAGAAGGCCUUCGGGUUGUAAAGUACUUUCAGCGGGGAGGCGUUACCCGCAGAAGAAGCACCGGCUAACUCCGUGCCAGCAGCCGCGGUAAUAC